AGCGCUCUGUAAAAUGCACCAAUCAGCAGGAUUCUAAAAGUAGCCAAUCGUGGGGAGGACUGAAAAAAGCACCCUCUGAUAGGACAGAAACAGAACAUGGGAGGGGACAAAUAACAGAAUAAAUGCUGGCCACCCCAGCCAGUAGCAGCAACCCGCUCCGGUCCCCUUCCAUACUGUGGAAGCUUUGUCCUUUUGCUCUUCACAAUAAAUCUUGCUACCAAUCACUUUUUGGGGCCACGCCAUCUUUAAGAGCUGUAACACUCACUGCAAAGGUCCGAAGCUUCAUUCUUGAAGUCAGCAAGACCACGAACCCACUGGCAGGAACCAACUCUGGACACACUGGGAGCAACAAGAAAGUUACGUGUGCUCAGUUCAAGUUUCUCUCUCUUUUUGUAGAGAUUGGGGUCUCGCUAUAUUGUCCAGGAUGGUCUUGAACUCCUCCCCUCAAGCAAUCCUCCCACCUUGGCCUCCCAAAGAGUUGGAAUUACAAGCAUGAGCCACGGCACCCGGCCUUCAAGUUUCUUUUUUUUUCCUGAGAUGGAGUCCUGUUGGGAUUCGAUCAGGCUAGUUGGAAAAAUAUUAGUUAUGAUAGCCACAAAAUCCUUUUGGAAGGCCUGAGGGUUUUCGUAUGACUUUGGUAAUAGACCAGGCUGAAGGCGGCCUGGUCCCAUUACCUUUAGUUAAAUAAAUUAGAGUAGUCAACAACGGGAUGUGGGGAAGUUAUCUAGUUAACUUGUUCACUCACGUGGUCUUAAGCCUUAAGCCUUUGAUGUAUGCUUCUCACUCAGGAAGUCCACAAUGUCAAUUACCCUCUAAUGGUGUUGACUCAAGUUUUUGUUAACUAUUUUUAAUGAAUUAAUGCAAGCCUGCCCAGCUGAGGCCGGCCGCAGUGACAAACCUCUCUUGGUGUGCAGGUGGGUCGGACACUCAGCAGGACUGGCAACACAGAAUAUCUGUGUGUCAAUGUACAUGUUAUUCAUCCAUCGUUUGGGUCAGGGUCUGUGGGCAGACCCCCGCAGCUAACGCCCUCUUGUGAGGAGCAAUACCUCAAUUGGUGCCCCGUGUGAGGAAAGUCAGCGGUCUGCGGAAACAGACCCCCCACAGUUGGAGCCCCUUGUGAGGCAAGCUGUGAAGGAAGUGUGAAGAACGCGAUGGACCCCCGAAAAAGAAGGUGAAGAAGGACCACGCGGUCAAGUCAGUGAGUAAUCAGAUGCAAAGCCGGAAUAAGAGCAGUGACCACCUCGCCUGACAAACCUGUGGCUGCACCUAUCUGCGCUCUCCAAUCAAAAAAUUUGAUGUAGCAAACAAAAAAGGGGGAGAUGUUGGGAUUCGAUCAGGCAGCUGGUGAUCCAGAGGUCUCAUGGCAGAAUGAAGGAAUUUACCAAAGCCAAGCCCUUUGACUCUGGGCCUAUCUAUUUCUUUGAUCAGUUGAAACCUGAACGGAAAGAUGGGAAAAGAUAACCUGUGAAGAAAGUUAUCCCACCCAAAAUGCACCUCAAGAGCUAAGUGUAGGUUGGAUCUUUCAACAUCCUUACUCAAAAUGGGAAAUUCUGAAGUGGAAGACAGUCCCCAGUAUAGCUGUGAAGAGACUACAAGUAGCCAUAAUUCAAAUCAAAAUAGAAGAAGCAAAGCAAAAAAAAGAGGGCGUCAACAAACAACUUAUCCGGCGCCGCUAUGAGGACCUGGAAGGCGUGGAGGAGAGCAGGGAUCAGCAGUGCUCACAGAGUUUCUGGCUGGAGCUGCUGGAGAAGAAGCCUCAGAUGCCAAUUGUCAAAAAGGCUGACCCCAACAUGAAAAAAUUCCAUUACGCU